rnacentral:rRNA from 1 species
UACGGGGGGGGCAAGCGUUGUUCGGAAUUACUGGGCGUAAAGGGCGCGUAGGCGGCCUGCUAAGUCGGAUGUGAAAUCCCUCGGCUCAACCGAGGAACUGCAUCCGAUACUGGCGGGCUUGAAUCCGGGAGAGGGAUGUGGAAUUCCAGGUGUAGCGGUGAAAUGCGUAGAUAUCUGGAGGAACAUCCGUGGCGAAGGCGGCCAUCUGGACCAACACUGACGUUGAGGCACGAAAGCGUGGGGAGCAAACAGG